GUGUUCAGUUACCCGCACACACCGAUCUGCACCGGGAGCAAAGCGUGGCCGUGAGUCCGUCUUCGGUCUGGGGUUCGCAGCAGAGAAGCAGUCGGUCCAAGGUCGACUCGCUCAGCGUGGACUUUGGCGCUGUCGCAGGCGGAAGCAAAACAGAUCUCACCUGGCGUUUGCUGAAUGAUCAGGUUAUCAGAUUCACUCCUUGUUACCAAGGUAACAACCUGAACUGAGCCCAAAAGAAGUCCUUCGUUCUCGAAAGGAACUUUUGAAUCCACAAUGGGAAACAAACCACCAACAGCAGCCUCGUCAGGUGAGUGAUGACACGUUCACAGCAGCUGCACCAUAAAACUACACCAGCAGGUUCUACAACCGUCGGCCAAACUCUGACCUCUCAUACGUCACACCUCACCGAAGCUUUGGCUGCGUUCAUAGUUGAUGGUUUGAAUACAUGUUUUUAGUUUGUAUCCAGUGCUGAGAAGAAGUUAAUAGAUGAUUUGUCUGCUUUUACCAUGUGGUCAUCCAAAAGGGUGAUGGGUAUGUACCACCUCUUUAGCCUCUUUAGCCUCUUUAGCUCGUCAGAGUGAAGGUGGGUUCGGAAAUGGCCUCCUUUAAUAACUGAUUCAUCAAAUAAACAAAGGAGUGCUGGAGACUUGAUCGCAGCCCCAAAGCUUAUCUUUGUUAUCUCAGUGACCAAUGAGAGCAGACUCCGCCCCUCUCACCUGAUCCUGCAGGUACGUGAUUUAGUGAAUCGAUAGCUAGAAACCGUCCAUGAUGAUCACAUUUCAUAAAGCAAAAGCGCUGCUGAGUAAAUGAAAAUAUAACUUGUCUGGUCUUGUUACUAAUUCUAACUUUUACUACUAAUUCAACUCAUUUUCUUGAUUAUGUGGGAAUGACUGAAUACCUCCAUUUUCUACAUCUCUACAGGAAGUGGCGGCGGCGGUGGCGGGCGGGCGCGGCAUCCCGUGCCUGUUGGAGCUGCGGUCGGGGCAUCAGCCGGAGUGGCAGCCGGACUGGGGGCCGGAGCAUUGGCAGGAGCGGCGGUCGGGGUGACGGCAGGAGCGGCGGCAAUGGCAGCGGCGGUGCCAGUUGCCGUGCCGGCGGUGGUGGGAAUUGGAGUGACGUUGGCAGCUGGCAGACGCACCGUGUGUGACGGCAAGAGUAUCAGUAAAGGUAAAUAUACCAAACCAAGUCAGAAAUAUUGUCCUAAUUUCUAUUAUUGGAGCAUUUGUUGGCCUAAAAAAAGUUUAGGUU